rnacentral:rRNA from 1 species
GAUCAUGGCUCAGGAUGAACGCUAGCUACAGGCUUAACACAUGCAAGUCGAGGGGCGAGCAUUGGAGUAGCAAUACUCAGAUGGCGACCGGCGCACGGGUGAGUAACACGUAUCCAACCUGCCGCUUACUCGGGGAUAGCCUUUCGAAAGAAAGAUUAAUACCCGAUGGUAUAAAGAGUUCGCAUGUUCUCUUUAUUAAAGAAUUUCGGUAAGCGAUGGGGAUGCGUUCCAUUAGAUAGUUGGCGGGGUAACGGCCCACCAAGUCUACGAUGGAUAGGGGUUCUGAGAGGAAGGUCCCCCACAUUGGAACUGAGACACGGUCCAAACUCCUACGGGAGGCAGCAGUGAGGAAUAUUGGUCAAUGGACGAGAGUCUGAACCAGCCAAGUAGCGUGAAGGAAAAGAAGGAUCUAUGGUUCGUAAACUUCUUUUGCAGGGGAAUAAAGUGCAGGACGUGUCCUGUUUUGUAUGUACCCUGAGAAUAAGGAUCGGCUAACUCCGUGCCAGCAGCAGC